CCCAGUGACCAUCACUCCCCUCAGGUUCUCGUGUUUCUGUGGACUGUUGUCAUUGUUUUAUCGGUGGAUCUGCUGCUGCUGGUGAUGAGUGUAAAACUCUGCAGCAUAUACAGAGAGCGACAAAUGUCCAAAGGAGGCAACAAGCCUGGUUUACAAGAGGAUGCUGCCAUAUAUUCUUCAGUCAUCUACAGGUCUCUGAAAGUUGACUGAUGAUAAGAAAAUGUGUUUAAAGCUCUGCCUCCAUGUUGAAGUUGGUUAUGGAGAGACUUUGUCACAUAUUUUCAUUCAGUGAUGUGACAAUACAUUGGUAAUUCUUCAAUAUUUCUACAGUAAAUAUACUCUUUAGCUUCAUUUUUAACAAGUUGUAAAACAUGCAUUUUGCAUUUUUUAAUUAUCAAUACUGUAUAUAAUGGUAAA